AUGCAGAGUACAACCUCCUACAGAGGGAGAAAAGUUCAUCCCUGGAGCAACACGCCCAGGAGCACAUGCCUGUGGAGUUGUGUGCACAGAGGGAACAGGCAGUGUCGCAUCUGUAGGCUGAGUGUGAGGAGCUGUGCAUGCAGAGUCGCAGAGUUCAGAAGCAGCUGCAGGAAGAACUGGCCAAGCUGCAGCAGCACUGUACAGAGUCCCUGCCGCAGGCCGAGAGCCAUAAACAGUAGGUUCUAUCUGAGAAGGAGGCAGAGAAGGAUACUCUUACUGAGCGCAUAAUCACCCUCGAGCAUGACAUAGAGACAGCUGCCCUUGAAAAGGAUCGAAUGCGUAGAGACUUCUUGAGCAAACAGGAGCAGGAUAAGGUAUAAUAAAUCCAAAUAUGUCUUUAGAUCA
ensembl:lncRNA